CCUUUAUAGCGCAGAGCUGCGUCUAGGAAGAGGAGCACCCCUUUGAUUUUGUCUUCAAAAUGGGGCCUAGCAGGGGCCUGGAUGCUGCGCAUGAAAGAAACCAGAAUGGAGGGAAGAGCUGUCGCACAUUCAACUAGCAGCAAGGACAGGUCAUCCUAAAAUGGACAGAGUACCAACUGCUGCUUAGCUCUGAAUCUACUGCCUUGGUCCCCAACCUUCCUGGUGGACUCAACACAAGACAUGAAGUCACAGUUCAUGCUGACUCUUCCUGGAGGCCAGUGAAGAAGAGGACUCAGGUUCUAGCCAGGCUGCAGCAUGAGAUCAACUGUGGGAAGCCUCAGAAGAUGCUGGAGGGAGAGAUCCUGGACAGGGAGAACAGCUUCCAGCGUGAACCUCCUUCAUGAGACAUGGAAGAUUCUCUUGGCCAGUGAGGAGUUAGAAUCUUGUAUCUGGAUGCGAAUAUCCUUACAAAGGAAUGAUAAAGUCUUAGUCUCCUUUUGAAAGAGGAUCACCAAAGCUACACCACCAGCAUGCGACUCUGGACCCCAGUGCACAGUCAAGGCACUAAGAACAUGGGGUCUAAUAGAUGCUGGCUGUUCACCUUCACAGGUGGGUUACGUGGCGUCUACGGAAGCUAAGGUUCCCUGCCCCUGCUGAAGGGGUAACAGCUAUGAGGAGAGCAUGGCGAAGCCAGGAAUCUCAAAAGCUAACAUCUGUCGAGCAUUUCUGCGUGUGAGGCCCUGUGCUGAGUGCUGCACACACAACCAAGAGCGAGGAGUCUCUAAAAGAUGCUGAGAAGGGAGAGCAUUUCAUCCUCCACGGUGACACUCAUAGAAGGGGAGAGAGCCAUGCCCACAAUCCCAGACAACUCAGAAAGCCGCUGCUUGACAGCGCAGUGAGCAUCCUUGCUAAGUCAACACCUUAAGUCACACCUGUCGGGGGUAGGGGGCUGCCUGCUGUCCUUCUUUGUUGGUACCUGCCACCUGAUGCUUGGCUCCAUCCUGCUGCCUUUGGAGUGACAGACCAGAUAAGGAAGGACUUCUGCUGAUGGCUUCCUCCAGUUUUACCCAGUACUGGGCAGCCUGACACAUGUUGCCAUGUGUACCUGAUACCUCUCCAGAGAGCACAACCAUAGGUCGCUUUCUGUUACAGACCUUACGAUUUUGCUCACAUGAAAUGGGCAUAGCUAUAUAUAUGAAGGGGGUGAUCUAUGCAGUGACAUAGAGAAGGGAAGGUCAGCGGUUAUUACCUUUCCUCGGCUUGGGCCCCGGACUCUAUAGGAAAAGACUGUACGGGCUGCCACUGUGGUGAUCCUGAUGGGCGGACUCAGACUGUAUAUAGCAUAAUCCACAACUGACAG
ensembl:lncRNA